rnacentral:tRNA from 1 species
GGGUGCUUAGCUCAGUUGGCUAGAGCGUCUGGUUUACACCCAGAAGGUCGGGGGUUCGACCCCCUCAGCACCCACCA